rnacentral:rRNA from 1 species
GAUGAACGCUAGCGGCAGGCCUAAUACAUGCAAGUCGAACGAUACUUUCCAGCUUGCUGGAGAGGAAAGUGGCGCACGGGUGCGUAACGCGUAUGCAACCUACCUUCAUCAGGGGGAUAGCCCGGAGAAAUCCGGAUUAAUACCGCAUAAAAUCACAGGAUGGCAUUAUCCAAUGAUCAAACAUUUAUGGGAUGGAGAUGGGCAUGCGUGUCAUUAGCUAGUUGGCGGGGUAACGGCCCACCAAGGCGACGAUGACUAGGGGAUCUGAGAGGAUGGCCCCCCACACUGGUACUGAGACACGGACCAGACUCCUACGGGAGGCAGCAGUAAGGAAUAUUGGUCAAUGGAGGGAACUCUGAACCAGCCAUGCCGCGUGCAGGAAGACUGCCCUAUGGGUUGUAAACUGCUUUUAUCCGGGAAUAAACCUAAAUACGUGUAUUUAGCUGAAUGUACCGGAAGAAUAAGGGUCGGCUAACUCCGUGCCAGCAGCCGCGGUAAGAC